CCUGCGCCCAAGAAAUUGCAGGGGAACAGAACAGUGCAAGUUGGCAUCAAGAAGCUGGAGGGUUGGGAUUCUCAAGCUUGAGGUCUGGGGAAAGGAAGCGGCACCCACCCCACCCCGUGAGCCCUCCUCUCUCUCCUCCCAGCAGCUUCCCCUGCCGCAUGGUUCAACAACAGCCAAAAGCAACCAGCCCACAGCCUAGUGCUCUGCUCCAACAGCCUCUGAGUCUCCCAGGAUGAAGGGCCUCUUCUUAAUCGUGGUCACCAUCAGCCUCCUGCUAAUGCUUCAGAUACAAACUGUGGUCUUAGAAGAGAACAGAAACAGCUCGACUGUCGAACCUGGGAACGAUGCGGCCUCCACCCUCGGCACACUGGGCGGAGGCAGCCUCCUCCUUCUCCUGACCAGCACCCUCAUCCACCUCUUCUACCUCAGCUGAGGUCGAUGCCUGCCUGAGUCCAUUUCAAGCCUGAGGAGAGAUUCUGCUCAAGAGGGUCAGCUCGGCGCUGACGAGGAUGGGAGUUGAGAGGCAGCGUUGGGGGCUCUGGAAGACCAGGACAGCGCCUGUGGUCAAUA